rnacentral:rRNA from 1 species
GACGAACGCUGGCGGCGUGCUUAACACAUGCAAGUCGAACGGAAAGGCCCUGCUUUUGUGGGGUGCUCGAGUGGCGAACGGGUGAGUAACACGUGAGUAACCUGCCCUUGACUUUGGGAUAACUUCAGGAAACUGGGGCUAAUACCGGAUAGGAGCUCCUGCUGCAUGGUGGGGGUUGGAAAGUUUCGGCGGUUGGGGAUGGACUCGCGGCUUAUCAGCUUGUUGGUGGGGUAGUGGCUUACCAAGGCUUUGACGGGUAGCCGGCCUGAGAGGGUGACCGGCCACAUUGGGACUGAGAUACGGCCCAGACGCCUACGGGAGGCAGCAGUGGGGAAGAUUGCACAAUGGGCGGAAGCCUGAUGCAGCAACGCCGCGUGCGGGAUGACGGCCUUCGGGUUGUAAACCGCUUUCGCCUGUGACGAAGCGUGAGUGACGGUAAUGGGUAAAGAAGCACCGGCUAACUACGUGC